rnacentral:rRNA from 1 species
GCAUCUAGAUGAGGAGGUGAUCCAGCCGCACGCCAUAUUUGCGGAAGUAUUUGCUCGCAACUCUCGCCGGAGGUUGGUGAUGCCAAUGUUUUUCGAAUAUCCGUGGUUGUCCGGAUCUCGGGCCGCCUCGGCGAGCUUUUCGAUGACCAGGUCCGCAGGCGGGUCGCUGGGAUUGCCCAUCCCCAGGUCGAUGACGUCCUCGCCGGCCCGCCGCUUGUUGUAGAGCAUGCCGUUGAUCCGUCCGAACAGGUACGGCGGCAGCCGGGUGACCCGCUCGGCGAUCUGCACUUUGAACGGCGACGGCGAAGGCUCAGGACUGGACAUCUGCAAGUUUUACGACAGGGCUCGAUGGUAGCCUCGGGCCAACAGCCCGCCGGCGAAGCGCGCACGACUCCCCACGAUGCGGGGGCAUCAACAGACCAAGUAUACCCGCGCCGGGUUCGCUGUCCCAUUCGCUCAUGGGCGCACAAAAAGGGAGAGCCGCCUCAGCCGGCGGCUCUCCAUCAGUACGAUCGCCCACCGCUUCGGACUGGUCGCUUAAGCGACCAGUCCGUACCGGUACGCCUACCGCGUUGCCGCCGUCGGCCGCACGGCGGUAUCCGAGCGGACCGGUUGCUGGGCAUUCCCCGUCGGCUUAUCCGGCUGGUGCGAAGUGCCCGAGAGGUAAUUGUCGACGCGAGCCCGGGCGUUUAUCUCCUCGAACUUCUGGCCCAUCGCCAUCCGCAGCUUCUUUUCGUGGAUGUCGCGGUACAGCUCGUCGCGGCCGAUUCCAGGUCAAUGUCCAUCCGCUCGGUGCGGCCUUCGCACCGCAAGAUCACCCACUUGUCGGCGACCUGAGUGACGCCUGAAAUCUCACCUUCUUGAAGCUGGAAGGCCACUUUCUCAAUCUGCGGCUGGCCACUAUGCCGACCGAUCGGCGGCACUUCGCCCCGGAGCGCCUUGCUCGUCGGCUCCACCGAGUACUCGGCGGCCAGGUCGCCGAAGUAAUCCGGCGACGGGUUGCGGCGGGCCUUGUCCCAACCUCUUGAGCCCGCCGCAUGUUGCUCAGCACGAUCGCCCGGCAGCGGACCCGCUCGCCAUAGUUGGCCUCGAAGCCCUUUUGGAUGUCGGUCUCGUCGACGACGACUUCCUUCGCUGUGAGCUUUUUCAGGGCGGCGGACGGCCACACUGAGUCGCGCUCGUUUUUGGGGGGGGGGGGACCCCCCCCCCCCCCUUGGGGGGGGCACUCCACCCCAGGGGGGGGGUUUUCCCCCCCCAUUUUUUUGAAAACCCCCGCCCCAAAUUAACCCGGGGGACCUUUUUUCAGCGUCCAGAUCCUCACGGGUCACUUUCACGUUGGCAGCCUGCAGGGCCUGCUCCAGAAGUAGUCGCGAGAUCUCGGUUUCCAGCACUUCCUCACCGUGGCGUAGUAGGCACUCGUUGCCGAGUUCCUGCAUCGUGAUCCGGUCGCCGUUCACGGUGGCCACAACGCCCGGCAUCGUCUGGCUCAGUUGCGGGUCGUUGUAGAUGUUUUUGAUCGUGGCGGUCUUCUGGACAUUCGCGAAGAUGCCCGAGGCGGCCGCGCGAAGCUUUUCGUCCUUGAUCCGUUCGACGAGCCGCUGCUCGACUUGCUUGAUAUCGACCUGCUGCGGCUGGAUCUCAUCGGAUCCCGGGCCCGUCGACUGCAGAGGCCUGCAUGCAAGCUUCCUGUAUAGUGAGUC